ACGAACGCUGGCGGCACGCCUAACACAUGCAAGUCGAACGGAGAUUGAGAGCUUGCUCUUAAAUCUUAGUGGCGGACGGGUGAGUAACACGUGAGCAACCUGCCUCUGAGAGAGGGAUAGCUUCUGGAAACGGAUGGUAAUACCUCAUAACAUUACAUGACCGCAUGAUCGUGUAAUCAAAGAUUUAUCACUCAGAGAUGGGCUCGCGUCUGAUUAGCUAGUUGGUGAGGUAACGGCCCACCAAGGCGACGAUCAGUAGCCGGACUGAGAGGUUGAACGGCCACAUUGGGACUGAGACACGGCCCAGACUCCUACGGGAGGCAGCAGUGAGGGAUAUUGCACAAUGGAGGAAACUCUGAAUGCAGCGAUGCCGCGUGGAGGAAGACGGUUUUCGGAUUGUAAACUCCUGUUUCGAGGGACGAUAAUGACGGUACCUCGGGAGGAAGCUCCGGCUAACUACGUGCCAGCCGCAGC
rnacentral:rRNA from 1 species